CCUACGGGAGGCAGCAGUGAGGAAUAUUGGUCAAUGGGCGGAAGCCUGAACCAGCCAAGUAGUGUGCAGGAUGACGGCCCUACGGGUUGUAAACUGCUUUUAUACGGGAAUAACGCGCCUUACGUGUAGGGCUUUGCAUGUACCCUUUGAAUAAGGACCGGCUAAUUCCGUUCCAGCAGCCGCGGUAAUACGGAAGGUCCGGGCGUUAUCCGGAUUUAUUUGGUUUAAGGGGAGCGUAGGCCGGAUGUCAAGCGUGCUGUGAAAUGUCCGGGCUCAACCCUGGCCUUGCAGCGCGAACUGGCGUGCUUGAGUCCGCGGAAAGCAGGCGGAAUUCGUCGUGUAGCGGUGAAAUGCUUAGAUAUGACGAAGAACCCCGAUUGCGAAGGCAGCUUGCUGCAGCGGAACUGACGCUGAUGCUCGAAAGCGCGGGUAUCGAACAGGAUUAGAUACCCUGGUAGUC
rnacentral:rRNA from 1 species